UUGGAUUCCUUGAAAUUUUUUCAAAGUGACAAUAUAAAAAAAAAGUUUAAAGAUAAUGUUGGGCGUUUGUAUUUUUUUCUAAACUUUCAACUAGACAAUUUUUUUGCUUUUCAAUUUUACCCCCACAAACAAAAUAAAAAUUAGUAAAAAAAAUAAAUCGGUUGGUACUUUUUUUCUUAAUUCUGUUUCUAACUUCAUAAACAACAUUUCUUAUUAUGCUAUUUUUGGAUUACUGAUAUUCUAUUUAUAGUUUUUUUUUAGAUUAAUAUGAUAAACAAUUCACCGAAUGAAAUUGACGUAGUGCAAGAUGUGCAUUCGGUUUUGACUCCCAAAAGGCUAGUAGAACAAGAUUAUCCUGUUCCAAACAAGUUAUAUAAAAAAAAGAUACUUUUAGAAAAAUUUCGGUAUCCUUAUCACUAUAAGCAUUGCUUUGCCGGAAAAAAUGGUAUCAUUCAUUUCAAUAUAACAGGAAAUAUAGAUAACCCUAUUGUAUGUUGUGAUUUAAUCUUUUAAAUGAAAGUUUGAAUAGUUUUUUAGGUUUCCACAAUUUUUAUAAAAAUCGAAAGUAUUGUGUGAUAUCUUUUGACUUGUACGGUCAUGGACUUUCAGCUAAUGUUCCCUAUCGUCGUAGUGAAUAUUUAUUUUUUUUUAAAAAGCCAAAUGCUACCUAUACUUUACGUUUUUUUGUUGAGGUUAUCUUGUAUUUUAUUUAAAAACAUAUUUUUUUUUGAAAAUUUUUCUCUACGUUUAGCAAGCAAAACAACUUAUUGAUCAUUUAGGAGUUUCUUCUUCACGCAACGAUCUAACGUUGGUUGGCUUCUCCAUGGGUAAAUGAUUUCAAAUAACGCGAAAACCUUAUUUUUUUUUUUUUUGAAAAACAAAAGGAGGGAUAAUAGCAUUAUCCUUUGCACUUUAUUAUCCGUCAUAUGUUCAACGCAUAUUCUUAAUCUGUUCCGCUGGGUUUAUGAAAACAAAACCUCCUUUUCGUGUCAAAUUACUAAAGCAGUUCAGCUGCUGUAUUCAUCCUAUUUCGUCUCUUUGUAUUUGCUCCUUUGCGCAAAAAAAAAAAAAAUUUUUUAAGGUAAUAUAUUUUCCUAUAAUGAAAACGUCACAUGUUAUUCCUUCAGCAAUUUACACAUAAGGAAAUUGAAAACGGAACAGCUGAAAGUUUAUGGACACUACAUAUUUGGAACCUUUAUAUAAAGAAGGGAUUUAUUGAAUCUUUUUUAGGUUGCGUUCUAGAACUCCCUCUAUGGCAUGCUCCUUUUCUUUUUUCUAUGGUGCUCCUGUCAAUUGUUCUAAUUGACGUUUUUUUUAUGUACUACCCCUUUUUUCUAUCUCUUAUAGGUUGGCCAAUUGGAUAUACCAGUGUUAUGUAUUUGGGGAGAAAACGAUAAAAUUGUUCCACCCAUGCCGUGCGACGUUGUGCAGAAUUAUAUCCCCAAUAGCUUUUCUUUAACGAUUCCUCAAGGAACUCAUCUCCUUAUAAAUGAAAAGUCGACUAUCAUCUUCAAGUUACUCACAAAAUUUUUAAAUGUUCGUCAAGGGGAAAUCGUCGAUGUUUGGAGUCGUUUCAUUUAAAUCGAGGAUGAUCAUUUUUUCAUUGAAUAAUCAACACGCUACCAUUUCAUUUUCUUAUACAUUAACGCCUUUAAAGAAUUUUCAAAUUAUUUUUUUUUAAUAGAAGACGUUGUGAGGAACCAAAAAAAAAUAGGUAGCAAAGUAUAACAGAUGUUGUUAUUUAUUAAAAGGUAACGACUUACUGUAAAACGUGUACUGGAAACUCAUUGAGCAUUGAAAUAUAUUUAACCUUUUUUAAUAAUCAAUUACUGGUUAUAUAUAGAUAGUCAAAAAAACGUUUUCACAAACACACUUUCAAUGCACACAUUGCAUCCAAAAAUGCACAAUUACAUUUCUGUGAACGCUUAGAUGGUCGCUCCAAAAAGAAGCAUGAUAUCAAGGUUGUGUGGUGUAGUGGUUAGCACUUUAGACUUUGAAUCU